AUUGAACGCUGGCGGCAGGCCUAACACAUGCAAGUCGAACGAGUGGCGGACGGGUGAGUAAUGUCUGGGAAACUGCCUGAUGGAGGGGGAUAACUACUGGAAACGGUAGCUAAUACCGCAUACCAUCAGAUGUGCCCCGCUGGGAUUAGCGUGUUGGUGGGGUAGCGGAUCACCAAGGCGACGAUCCCUAGCUGGCCUGAGAGGAUGAUCAGCCACACUGGAACUGAGAGACGGUCCAGACUCCGACGGGAGGCAGCAGUGGGGAAGAUUGCACAAUGGGCGCAAGCCUGAGGAAGCCAUGCCGCGGGUAUGAAGAAGGCCUUCGGGUUUUAAAGUACUUUCAGUGGUGAGGCGUUACCCGCAGAAGAAGCACCGGCUAACUCCGUGCCAGCAGCCGCGGUAAUUC
rnacentral:rRNA from 1 species